ensembl:lncRNA
GUGGGGUUGUCCAACUGGAAGAGAAGAUGGGAAGGACAGGGAAGUCUUCAUAGACUGAGGUGUUGCCUGGCCAGAGUCCAUUCUCUCUUCUUCCAGAAAUAGACCCCCAAUUCCCUUUAGGGAACCGUCUCUCACCCACCCUCUGUCCUCAUAGUUCAUGCUGGGUUCCACCCCCAUCCUAGGCCGAUCAACAACCUGGUCUCCCUCAGGACUGUUUAUAUAGCAUGCACAUUUAUGACUGUUGCGGGAGUGGUUAUAUGAUCAGGCCUGGCCUAUCGCUGGAUACAGAAAUUGGUUCCAGAGUGGACAUUUGAUCCAAUCAGAGUGAAAUAGGAAGUGGGCAGAAGUUAUCAGAAGUCCAGAAGACAGGCUUUCUUUCUGCUGGCCUUGAACCGGAAGUAAUAAGCCUGGAGCUGCCAGGAGCCGGUGUGUAGGGAGGGCAGUGCCAGAGCGAAGCAAACCAGAGACAGGCCAGCCUGCAAACUGAAGAGAGGCCAGGUCCUGGGGACAUGGAGGAGCCACGAGGCUUUGGGUGUUUUUAAAACAGCAGGGAGCUGAGGAUACUUGUCUAGAGGAGAGGGAGAGAUCGGGGAAGAAGGAAAUGGCAUCCUAGAGGCAGAAACCACGUGCUUCAGAGGCUCAGCCGUGUAUUUUGAUGCAUGAACCAGCAUGUCCAUAGCUUCGAGGUUCUGUCAGCCCACGAGGCCCCUGGAGUCUUGGGAGGAGGCAGAACCACGAAGUCCAUGAUGGAACGAGAGACAUGUGUGUCUGGGGAGCUUUGCCUUGCCCCACUGAGGGAGGGGUGGGAGGUAAAGUACUGAAGGCCACUCACCUCCUUGGCAUGGGUGGACAAGGGAGCUACAGGGUGCAGGUGGCCAGGGUGGAUGUCUUUGCAUAGUCAUUGGCUUUUUCCCUUUUCUUUUUUCUUUUUGGCAGUCCUGGGGAUUGAAGCCAAGACCUUCACACUGCUGUACACUCUCAGCCCUUUUUUGUUUUUAUUUUGAGGCAAGGUCUUCCAAAGUCACCAAGUUACAUGGGCUGGGCUAGAGCUUACAAUCCUCCUGCCUCAGCCUUCCAGAGUUACGGGGUUACAGGUCUGCGUCACCAAGGUCAUCGGCUCUUUGUGCCUUUUGAGAGUUUGCAGCGAAAGGCCUGGGGUGGCCCAGAGUCAGCAAAGCCAUGGAGGGAAUAGGAGUUGGCCACAUGCAAAAGAAAGCGAGGCCACGCUGGACACGUUGCCCUGGCCUGCAUGUUUCCUGCAGCCUUGAGGCAAAGACAAACUGCAAAACGGAGUGGUUGCAGGUCACCUUUGAGCUCCAAGCUCAUCCCAAAGCUUCCCCUUUGGACAACUCUUCCCUGGAAGCAGAGCAACACGGCUCUUACGGUGUCCAAGCAGAGCAGCUGUCUCAUAGAUGUGCGAUGCAAGUCAGGGAGAUGGUUGUUUCUUCCAUUCCGGAGAAUCAUUCAGCAAAAUCUCUGGAGCCUUCAUUGGCUGGACCAGGCCAGAAGGAGCUGCCCAGGCCCUGCUGUGGCCCCAGGGCCUGCUGUCCAGGAGACACAAAGAGGGCCGAGGGGCGGAACCCGGAUGUGUUGCAGCGUCACAGCACCACAGAGAGGCACCAGUGGGCUCAGCCUCAGCUGCGCCUGCCCAAGGCCAGGCUUGCAGCUCCCUUCAAGGUGCACACAGACCCCGGCCUCCUGCCCAGUCCCCGAGCCUGCUUGCCUCCUAAAGAGCAAGAUGUCAGAAGGAAGGCAGCACCGAAGAUGUGCAAAUGAAGGGCGGAGAAAGAGAAAACUCCUGGCCAGGGGAUGGAGAUCUGCGUUGUACCAUGGAUCCAGUUAUACCUGAGACAAGUUACCACUGGGCUUUGCAGUAGAGGCCUCCAGAGUCCACCUGACAUCGACCACCUUGAUCCACCAGGGGUGGUGGAACCCAGCAGCGACAUUGACACGAAGCCACCGGGAAAAGGCCUGGCGGGAGCUGGCUACAAUGUUGAUGAAUUGUGGCAAGAAUUGAAUCCAUUCUCUUUAUAUAGCAGACCUCAGAAGCCACAAACCCAGGCAUUAAAGCCCGGGGUUGUGCCACUGGACUCUAAGGUUCAAAUCCCAGCUCUACCAGUUACCAGCUGUGAACAGGGCCCUGGGAAGGCUCCUAUAUCUGUCUCUGGCUCUGCUUCCCAUAAAAUGUUGGGAGAUUUUCAGCACUAAAUGCAUAUAACUUAGCAAGGACAGAGUGAUUUCUGAUUUUAUUAUAACAAAUAUAAAUUUAUGACUUGGUAUUUAUUGGUACCAAGCACACAUACAUUAAUUUAUUAUGUGUAUUACACCCCCGAUUUUCACAAGCAACUCUGUAUAGAGAGAAGAACUCUCGGUCACAUCCUACAGAUGAGGAAACUGAGGCCCAGGGAGGCUAAGUCCAGGUUAAGGUUAAGCUCAAGUUCCCAUGGAGUCAGGACUGGGAAUCUCAGCCGGAUGUGACUGGCUCCAAACGUCAUUCUCUUUGUGCUGCACUGGCCAGAUUGGCUUCUCUCAGCUCCCCAGCCAGUGUGGACCGGAAGCGAGUUCAGCUGGGCACGGCUGAGGAGGGUGGGUUGGGCUGGAAUCCCGCCCGCCCAUCCACCCCAGCCACGAGGACUCCAUCGGGCAACUGGGGUGGGUUAGCCUGGUCUUAUACUCAGCAUGCCAGGGCUGUAGAAGUUCACGUGCCCACAACCAUGUGACCUUCCCAGGCAAGCGGGAUCCAGUUACAUCGCAGCAGUGGCCCCAAGGAACAAACACAGCUUGUGUCUUCCUCCAAGGGCUUAUUUCCUUUGUCUUGUGAGCAUUGAAAAAUGAAAGGAAUGAUAAGGAUUUGAUGGGGGGGUGCCCUGGAAAAUUCUGCAGAACUUGGGUAACUCAUCCAGAGGAAAGCAAGGGGGAGUUUUCCAACCAAAUCCAAAGGCAGAGAAACCCAACACGAAGGCCUGAGCCCUGUGAGGUCUCCUGGAUUCCUAGGUUCUCUUUAGAAGGCACAGAGGCCCCAGGCCUGGGGCGGAAGUCCCAUAACCCAGUACUGCCACCAGGCUCCUGUGGACAGACCACGAAAUCUCUCCAGGGCUCAGCUUCCUUGGCUACUCUGCAUCAGUAAUGCCAACUCCCAGGCUCUGGGUUGUUACAAAGAAAUGAGAAACUGUGUGUAGACAGUGGUUCUGCUGGGGGGAUUAACACCCUUGGGGACAUAUGGCAACGUCUGGAAACUUUUUUAGUUGUCACACUGGGAAAAGCAACUGGUGAGUGAAGACCGAGGACACUGCCACACACCACACAGUGCCCAGGACACCCUGCCAAAGAAUGGCCCUCUCCAAAGACCCAGGGUGCUGUGGCUGAGCAAGUGCUGGUGUAGAGUCUCAAAUGUUUAGUUCACAUGCUGAUGUUGGUUUUACUGUUCCAUUGGCGCGCAUGUGGGAAGGGGGACAGGAGAACAGGGUGGCCCAGGAAGAAGGCAGAGCUUGCAUGCCAGCUGCCCCUGGAGACAGAUCUGCUGUCCUCCUUCAGACAAUGUUCACAACCCCUGCCCUCAGGAAGUGUUUGGUCCAGAAGGAGAGACAGCCAGCAGACGAAGCAAGCACUUAAAGAAUACUGGUUCCAAAUAUCCACCAAAAGUGAUGAACGGAGGAUGGUGAUUCAAAAGGAGUGAGGUUUGGACACAGAGGAGUCUUGACAUUAUGCUGAGUGGGAGAAGCCAUCGCUGUGUGACUGCAUUGUUACCAAAAGAGCAGGCAGAUCCUCAGACUGAAAGUAGCUGGUGGUUCCCUGAGCUGAAAGAGUUGAGGAAAAAGGCAGAGAGACCGCUAGUGGCUAUAGAAUUUCCUUCUGGGCCAAUGAGAAUGGUAGUGCUGGCUGCCCAGCUCAAUAAUAUACUGCAUGCCAUGGGACUGCACGCUUUAAUGUGUGAACUGGGAGCUACAUGAAUGAAAGCUUAAUAAAGCCAUUAUAAAUAACAAUAAUACUGAUGAAUGGCUAUACUGAUGAAUGAAAUAAGCAACCAGCAGGGCCAUUGUGCUCAGGGGGGAUACAGAUGGCAGGUGACAUCUAAGGAAGAGACAGAGACUAAGUUCUGGUGCAGGGGACAACAUGAUGUGCAGAGUCCCCAGGGCAUGAGCCCGAUGUGUGGUCCUACAAGGGAUCAGCUGCAUGCACCGUGGAGUGGGAGCUGCAGAGAAAGGUGCAGAGGGCUGACUGGGCAGUGACCUUAGGGACC